UACAGAGGUCUCAAGCGUUGUUCGGAUUCAUUGGGCGUAAAGGGUGUGUAGGUGGCGCGCUAAGUCGGGUGUGAAAUUUCGGAGCUUAACUCCGAAACUGCAUUCGAUACUGGCGUGCUUGAGGACUGGAGAGGAGACUGGAAUUCAUGGUGUAGCAGUGAAAUGCGUAGAGAUCAUGAGGAAGACCAGUGGCGAAGGCGGGUCUCUGGACAGUUCCUGACACUGAGACACUAAGGCCAGGGGAGCAAACGGG
rnacentral:rRNA from 1 species